rnacentral:rRNA from 1 species
UCGUCUCAGUUCAGACUGCAGGCUGCAACUCGCCUGCACGAAGUCGGAAUUGCUAGUAAUCGCGGAUCAGAAUGCCGCGGUGAAUACGUUCCCGGGCCUUGUACACACCGCCCGUCACACCAUGGGAGCCGGGGGUGCUUGAAGUGCGUCGCCGCAAGGCGCGCCCUAGAGCAAAACCGGUGACUGGGGCUAAGUCGUAACAAGGUAUC